rnacentral:rRNA from 1 species
CGAGGGUGCAAGCGUUAAUCGGAAUUACUGGGCGUAAAGCGAGUGUAGGCGGCUUCGUAAGUCGGAUGUGAAAGCCCUGGGCUUAACCUGGGAAUGGCAUUCGAUACUGCGCGGCUAGAGUCUGAUAGAGGGAUGUGGAAUUCCAGGUGUAGCGGUGAAAUGCGUAGAGAUCUGGAGGAACACCAGUGGCGAAGGCGGCAUCCUGGAUCAAGACUGACGCUGAGGCUCGAAAGCGUGGGGAGCAAACAGGAUUAGAGACCCGAGUAGUCC